rnacentral:rRNA from 1 species
AGAGUUUGAUCCUGGCUCAGAUUGAACGCUGGCGGCAUGCUUUACACAUGCAAGUCGAACGGCAGCGACAGGGAGCUUGCUCCCGGGUGGCGAGUGGCGCACGGGGUGAGUAAGUACAUCGGAACGUGUCCUGUUGUGGGGGAUAACUGGCUCGAAAGGGUGGCUAAUACCGCAUGAGACCUGAGGGUGAAAGCGGGGGAUCGCAAGACCUCGCGCAAUUGGAGCGGCCGAUGCCCGAUUAGCUAGUUGGUGAGGUAAAGGCUCACCGAAGGCGACGAUCGGUAGCUGGUCUGAGAGGACGACCAGCCCACACUGGGACUGAGACACGGCCCAGACUCCUACGGGAGGCAGCA